CCGGCUCGGGUCGCCUGUCCUCCGGUGACCCGGUAAGCGCUGGGUCGGGGCUUGGCUCACGGGUGAGGAACGCUGAAAGGCAGCAGGCCCGGAAGGGCCUCGGCAGUUUCCUGGGCUAACCCAGGUGCUGUAGUCAGGCCUCUGAUCCCCUACUUAGGUCCGGGCGGCGCUGCUGGCUGUAGGUUGGAGUUCAGAGGCAGCCCAGAGCUCCACUUCUAGGUCGUUGGGGGGCAGCGCCAGAUGGCGGAAUACCCUCUCUCCAGCUCCAAGCUCUGCACCCCCGGGACUACCAAGCCGGAGCCUGAUCUUCCUAAUCGCUGUUGUGUGCAGCGCUUUAGAGGAUGUCACUCCCAACCCCCAAACAAGGGGUCUUGGACUCCAUUUCACCGAAGAGAAAACUGAAGCACAGAGGGGGGAAAUUGUUUACUCCAGGUCAUGAAGCUAAUUAGAGUCAUACCUACUGAGUGAAUGAUAGAUGCAUUAGCCAUGGCACAUGCCUAGUAGGAACUCAAUACAAGUAACAAGUUACACAUCCUCCUAACACUGGGGACUCCUCCACCUUGGGCUCAUUGCCAUCCAAAUUUUAUGGAGCUCUUAGGUCCCCUCAUUCCUGGAUCUUUUUCCAGGAGGCCUCUGGAGACCUGGUCCCCUUUUGUGGCCCUGACCCUCACUCUGAACCUUGGAGACCCAGAGCCCAAUAAAAUUGCUGCAUCAAAAUUUCUGACCACAGAAAGGUGAGUCAUUGGCUGCCUCAGGGUGUCUCUGGGGCUGAUGUUGGGGUAGGAUGGAGGGUGAGAGUUCCCUGCUUGGCCCUUUAUUACCUCCCCAACCCCUAGCAUUGUCAGCUGAGAAGGACAUGACCUGGCCUAGUGCUGGUGAUUACUAGGCUUGUGCUGCCCCCUUCUCUGCUUACAGAGAGGGCCAGGAGAAGGGAGUAGGAGAAGGAGAGUUCUGGCUUUCCAAGUGGAUGGGCCCAGAGACUGGGCCAAGAGUCCCAUCCCAGCCUGGGCUUUGCUAAAGGAUGGGUGGGGUAGAAGUGGCUUGGGGCUCAAGAGCUAUUCUGGGCACAGCUGCUGUAGUUAUUAAAGGGAAUGGUUCUCCCUGGAGCAGAACUGGGAAUGUGAGAACCAGGAAGCUGGCAAAGCUGGGAAAGCAAAUCUGGGAGGCUCCCCCAGUGGUCAUGAGAGGGGGCGGGCACUGGCUGGCUGGUGCUACUGUCACUCCUGGCUCUGUCACUUAUUUGCUGUGUGACUUCAGGCAGGGAGCUUCCUCCCACUGAACCUCUUUUACCUUAAUCUGUCUAUAAUUUGAGGAGACCCCCAAUGGGUUCUGGUACACAGUGGGUGCUCUGGUAGAUGCAUGAUGAAUCUUGGUGUUAGGAACUCUAAACCCUUUUAUAGCUGGGCAGAGGGGUUUUGAGGUGAGCAGUAACUUGAAAAGUUCUGACUCCUCUCUGACCUCCCUAUCUCCCCUGCCUCAUUAUAUUUUUGGGUGAUUGUUUGCUGAGGCCUUCCUAUGUAUACUCUGGGCUGGAUGUUUAGUGUCCUGGGACUAGACCUGCCUGGCCACCAUCUAGUGUGUGUCUUUGGAUAGACUGAUUUCCUCUGAUUCUCAGGUUGUAAAAUGGGCCAGGUGAAUAUGAUGGCCCUCACCAAGGCUCCAACCUUCUCUUCCUUCAGGAGGGGCCAAACUUUCAGGAUUUUUGGUAACUGAAUCACUGACUCCCUAUGGCCGACAGACAGGUUGGGAUAUGUGGCUUGUAUCAGGCAGACACUAGUUGGGGGUGCCCAACCUUUUAUUAUAAUCUCUGUAGAUUUCCCACCAGAGAAGCCAGCACCCAGGGAAUACUUCUGUCUGGAGCCCACUGUGGGUUUGCAAAUGUGGAAAUACUCUGUUUAUGGAGGUUGGAUGAUUCUGUGGCAAAUAUGAAAACAUAUCCCAGAAAUGGGAGGGAUAGAAAUAACUCAGGUGGGUUAGCAGUAAGUGUAGACUGCCUCCAGGGAAUAGAAAAGUAGACAUGCCCCCAGGGAGUUCUACAGAAAAUGUGGAAACAUCCCUAGAGGAAGGUGACAAGUGUCUCAGUAGCAAAAUGGUUGACCAUCUUCAGGGGAUAGGUGAGGAGGCUCAAGCUUUGGGACAUCCAGGGGACUCCUAGCCAGGCCUAGUCCUAAGGCAGGCUGAAGUGGGGAGAAGGGCAGGUCUAUAGCCACCUCCUUGACAUCUCUAUUCCUGGAGCAGGGGAUCUCCUUUCUUAUUUUCAUCCAGGGAAGGGCUGAUUGAGGGGUUGGGUCCUGGUCUUACCCUCAUUGCUCAUCCUUAAGGGCUCCUGGGGUUUGAUAGGCCCUCCCUUCAUCAUUACCUCCCACUGACCUGCUGUCUCUCUGAGGCCAGGCAACCUGAUCUUCCUCCUAGCCAGGAAUGCUGCCCUUGAGCAGGAGCUUAGGUAUAGGGGGUGAGAGGGGGGAGGGCCCAUGGGAAUAGGAUCUUAGAACCUCAUCUGACAGACACAGAUGAGAGCUGUGCAAUCACAUGGUAGCGGUUCUGUGGGAUUUCUGCUAGCCAGUACUUUACAAGCCACACAGGCUCAAGUAGUGGUUCCUAAUCUGGGGGGUCAAGGAGUAAUGUUAGGAAAUCAUGAUGAAAACUUCUUCCCAGAAAAAUACCCAGGUCACCAAGUUAAAACUGUCUAAUCCAGAGAGAUACCCAGCAAAGGCAAUGGAGUAUAGUGAUUGGGGGUGCUGACUCUGGAAUCUGACUGUAUGGGUUUAAAUCCAACUUCUGUGUCUUAUUAGCUGUGAGACUUUGCACAAGUUACAUUACCUCUCUGAGCCGCAGUUUCUUUACCUGUAAAAGAGGGAUAAUAAUUAGACCCACUUCCUAGAGUUGUUGUGAGAAGUACCUGUGGUAAUAUAGGUAAAGUGCUUAGGACAGUACCUAGCACAUGAAUGUUAGCUGUAUUAUGAUAAUAAGUAAUCACAAUAUCAGACAGUUUCUUCCUUGCUUGGAGAACUGCUAUUUACCCUUCAAGGUUCAGCGUGGAUGUCCAACCCUCUGGAGACCUUUCCUGAUAGAGUCUAGUCAUAUAUAUCACUCCUUCCAUGCCCCUAGAGCAUGCAAUAAUGUUAAUAAUUAACUAGUUGAUUCUUUUACUGAACGCUUACUCUGUGCCCUGGUACGGCUCUAAGCACUUUGUGUUUAGCUCAUUUAAUUCUCAUUAGAGCCCAGAGGAGGAUACUAUUAUUAGCUCGUGUAAUUCUUAUAAGGGCCCAGAGGAAGGUACUAUUAUCACUGGCAUUUGAUAGAUGAGAAAACUAAAGCACAGAUGAGUUAAAUAACUUCGUAAGGUCACGCAGAAAAUAGAGAAGCAUGAAAGCAGGUGGACUUACCAGGACACGCACACACCGCAGAGCUUCCCCACACAUCCCUUAGAGCGUACUCUCACUAUGCUCUGAGGGCUGGGGGUGAUAUCCCUAGCCGGGAGUCGGGUGGGCGCUGUGACUCCUCUCUGCACCUCCCAGGUAUCUGCACUGCCGCUGGGCGCCCCCCUGAGACCGUUUCACUCUCCCACCAUGUUCCAGCGCCUCACCAGCCUCUUCUUCAGUACUCCCCCGCCCCCCGAGGACCCCGGAUGCCNN
rnacentral:lncRNA from 1 species